UCCCUGGUGGUCCAGGGGUUAGGACUCAGUACUUUCAAUGCUGUGACCCGGUUUCAAGCCCUGGUCAGGGAA
rfam:Ovis aries breed Texel chromosome 1, whole genome shotgun sequence.